UACAGAGGUCCCGAGCGUUGUUCGGAUUCACUGGGCGUAAAGGGUGCGUAGGUGGGCAGGUAAGUCAGUGGUGAAAUCUCCGGGCUUAACUCGGAAACUGCCAUUGAUACUAUCUGUCUUGAAUACCGUGGAGGUUAGCGGAAUAUGUCAUGUAGCGGUGAAAUGCUUAGAUAUGACAUAGAACACCAAUUGCGAAGGCAGCUGGCUACACGAAUAUUGACACUGAUGCACGAAAGCGUGGGGAUCAAACAGG
rnacentral:rRNA from 1 species